rnacentral:rRNA from 1 species
CAAAUCAAGAAUAGAGGUCAGCCUGCCCUGUGACUAUAUGUUUAACGGCCGCGGUAUUUUAACCGUGCGAAGGUAGCGCAAUCACUUGUCUUUUAAAUGGAGACCUGUAUGAAUGGCAUUACGAGGGCUUAACUGUCUCCUUUUUCAAGUCAGUGAAAUUGAUCUCCCCGUGCAGAAGCGGGGAUAAACCCAUAAGACGAGAAGACCCUAUGGAGCUUUAGACACUAAAGCAUGUCAUGUUAAACACCCCUAAAUAAAGGGCCAAACCAAAUGAAUUAUGCCCGUAUGUCUUUGGUUGGGGCGACCGCGGGGAAAUAAAAAACCCCCACGUGGAAUGGGAGUACUACUUCCUACAACUAAGAGCUGCAGCUCUAAUGAACAGAAUUUCUGACCAAUAAGAUCCGGCAAUGCCGAUCAACGGACCGAGUUACCCUAGGGAUAACAGCGCAAUCCCCUUUUAGAGCCCAUAUCGACAAGGGGGUUUACGACCUCGAUGUUGGAUCAGGACAUCCUAAUGGUGCAGCCGCUGUUAAGGGUUCGUUUGUUCAACGAUUAAAGUCCUACGUGAUCUGAGUC